UGCGGCGUGCCUAAUACAUAGCAAGUCGAACGGACGUUUCUAUGGAAGGCUUGCUCCACUGAGAAGAUAGUGGCGAACGGGUGAGUAACACGUGGGUAACCGUGCCCACUAAGAGGGGGAGUAACAAUCCGGAAACGGGUAGCUAAUACCGCAUAGUUUUCUUGAUCGCAUGAUUGAGAAAGGAAAGACGGCCUUUGUGCUGUCGCUUAUGGAUGGACCCGCGGCGUAUUAGUUAGUUGGUGAGGUAACGGCUCACCAAGACGAUGAUACGUAGCCGACCUGAGAGGGUGAUCGGCCACAUUGGGACUGAGACACGGCCCAAACUCCUACGGGAGGCAGCAGUAGGGAAUCUUCCGCAAUGGACGAAAGUCUGACGGAGCAACGCCGCGUGAGUGAAGAAAGGUUUUCGGAUCGUAAAACUCUGUUGUCAGAGAAGAACAAGUUGGAGAGUAACUGCUCCAGCCUUGACGGUAUCUGACCAGAAAGCCACGGCUAACUACGUGCCAGCCGCAGC
rnacentral:rRNA from 1 species